rnacentral:rRNA from 1 species
UUUUUUUUUUUUUUUUUAAAUAAAAGAAAAAAGUAUGUGAAAUUUUACUUUGAGAAAAUUAGAGUGCUUAAAGCAGGCAAAUUAGCCUUGAAUACUCCAGCAUGGAAUAAUAUAAAAGAUUUUUAUCUUUUUUUAUUGGUUCUAAGAUAAAAAUAAUGAUUAAUAG